rnacentral:rRNA from 1 species
UAGGGAAUCUUCCGCAAUGGGCGAAAGCCUGACGGAGCAACGCCGCGUGAGUGAUGAAGGUCUUCGGAUCGUAAAACUCUGUUAUUAGGGAAGAACAAAUGUGUAAGUAACUAUGCACAUCUUGACGGUACCUAAUCAGAAAGCCACGGCUAACUACGUGCCAGCAGCCGCGGUAAUACGUAGGUGGCAAGCGUUAUCCGGAAUUAUUGGGCGUAAAGCGCGCGUAGGCGGUUUUUUAAGUCUGAUGUGAAAGCCCACGGCUCAACCGUGGAGGUUCAUUGGAAACUGGAAAACUUGAGUGCAGAAGAGGAAAGUGGAAUUCCAUGUGUAGCGGUGAAAUGCGCAGAGAUAUGGAGGAACACCAGUGGCGAAGGCGACUUUCUGGUCUGUAACUGACGCUGAUGUGAGAAAGCGUGGGGAUCAAACAGG